rnacentral:rRNA from 1 species
AUGAACGCUAGCUACAGGCUUAACACAUGCAAGUCGAGGGGCAGCAUGAACUUAGCUUGCUAAGUUUGAUGGCGACCGGCGCACGGGUGAGUAACACGUAUCCAACCUGCCGAUGACUCGGGGAUAGCCUUUCGAAAGAAAGAUUAAUACCCGAUGGCAUAGUUCUUCCGCAUGGUAGAACUAUUAAAGAAUUUCGGUCAUCGAUGGGGAUGCGUUCCAUUAGGUUGUUGGCGGGGUAACGGCCCACCAAGCCUUCGAUGGAUAGGGGUUCUGAGAGGAAGGUCCCCCACAUUGGAACUGAGACACGGUCCAAACUCCUACGGGAGGCAGCAGUGAGGAAUAUUGGUCAAUGGACGAGAGUCUGAACCAGCCAAGUAGCGUGAAGGAUGACUGCCCUAUGGGUUGUAAACUUCUUUUAUACGGGAAUAAAGUGAGGCACGUGUGACUUUUUGUAUGUACCGUAUGAAUAAGGAUCGGCUAACUCCGUGCCAGCAGCCGCGGUAAUACGGAGGAUCCGAGCGUUAUCCGGAUUUAUUGGGUUUAAAGGGAGCGUAGGCGGACGCUUAAGUCAGUUGUGAAAGUUUGCGGCUCAACCGUAAAAUUGCAGUUGAUACUGGGUGUCUUGAGUACAGUAGAGGCAGGCGGAAUUCGUGGUGUAGCGGUGAAAUGCUUAGAUAUCACGAAGAACUCCGAUUGCGAAGGCAGCUUGCUGGACUGUAACUGACGCUGAUGCUCGAAAGUGUGGGUAUCAAACAGGAUUAGAUACCCUGGUAGUCCACACAGUAAACGAUGAAUACUCGCUGUUUGCGAUAUACAGUAAGCGGCCAAGCGAAAGCGUUAAGUAUUCCACCUGGGGAGUACGCCGGCAACGGUGAAACUCAAAGGAAUUGACGGGGGCCCGCACAAGCGGUGGAGUAUGUGGUUUAAUUCGAAGCAACGCGAAGAACCUUACCAGGCCUUGACAUCCCUUGCAGAGGUAUAGAGAUAUAUCCGAGGUUAUCAAGGAGACAGGUGGUGCAUGGUUGUCGUCAGCUCGUGUCGUGAGAUGUUGGGUUAAGUCCCGCAACGAGCGCAACCCUUAUGGUCAGUUACUACGCAAGAGGACUCUGGCCAGACUGCCGUUGACAAAACGGAGGAAGGUGGGGAUGACGUCAAAUCAGCACGGCCCUUACGUCCGGGGCUACACACGUGUUACAAUGGGGGGUACAGAAGGCAGCUACACGGCGACGUGAUGCUAAUCCCGAAAGCCUCUCUCAGUUCGGAUUGGAGUCUGCAACCCGACUCCACGAAGCUGGAUUCGCUAGUAAUCGCGCAUCAGCCACGGCGCGGUGAAUACGUUCCCGGGCCUUGUACACACCGCCCGUCAAGCCAUGAAAGCCGGGGGUACCUGAAGUGCGUAACCGCAAGGAGCGCCCUAGGGUAAAACUGGUGAUUGGGGCU